GAAGUAGCUCGUCUACUUUUACCUCGAUUCAGCGCUUUCGGGCUCUGUUUACAGACCCGUCUGUGAGCCCCACCUGUGUGUCCGCGUGCUGCCCACGGAGAAGGCGCUGUUGCCGGGGUCGCGGGCGUGCGCUUUUAUUUCAGGCGCCCGUCAGGAACAGCAUCGCUCAGGAGUUUACAAAUUCAGCAUUGCGUAUUUGCGUAGCGAGGGCACCUUUGCCCUUUGGUCCUGAUUUUUUAAAUACUUGAUUACAUAUUAACCGUCAGCUGUUGAUUCAGUGUUCCUUAUUUUAUCCUCCUUUGUAUACAAGUUAACUCUAAAAUGAUCCAUUAGGCAAGAAUUAACUAAAUAUACUUUGUGGUAUUCUUUCCUUUGAAUCUCUACUAACUUUAUUCAGCUGGAAAUCAUCUUGAGAAAGGAAAUAAAACACGUGGCUCGUCACACACCUGGUUCUCACUUCUCUGACGGCUGUGGGGGAGAAAACCUGAUCAAUCGUUGAUCCAAGGAAAAAAGUGGGAGAUUCCAUUCGAACCACCCAAGGACUGUAGUCUUUCAGAAAGUUCUAGGACUCCGCCUGUUAGAGGUCAGAGCACACGUGGCCACAAAACUGCUGAAAACUGUGCUUCUCCAGGAUGGAUUCCCAGCAGAACCCGGGAGGAUGGCUCAGGCAAGACUCUGCUCCUGUUACAGGUUGCAUGUUGAUUAUAUGAGACACCUCUGACCAGGGGGCCGGUCUCCCCCACCUCCAGAGUCGCCACCUUGGCAGAAACCCGGGUGAGGCCCAAAGGGGUUUAACCGGGGCAAAGUUGGAGGGUCGUGGGCGCUCAAGCCAGGAACCUGGAUGGAGCCCAGGCACACGCGUGCCACUCAUCACCAAGUCGUGGGCCAGGUGGGGUCAUGGCGGAGGUGUGGACGCACUGGAAACGCACGGCCCGGGGAGAAUUUCAAGUCUUUCAGAAACAGCCUGAAGGAGCCAGAAUAAAUGCUGGCCUCCACGCUCGCUCUGCCAAUGGACGCCAACAGUGAGACAAGAAGUUCUGACUUUCUGGGCCCCGGCGGCCGUGGUGACCGUGGAAGACCACAGGCACUCAUCUGUGUCACUGUUUCCUGAGUCAAACUAAAUGCACCUGAGACUCUCAUUGUCUCCCAGCGUCAGGAGGCAGGGAGAGGACGCCCUGCCCGCGUCCCAGUGACGCUGCUGACCCGCGAGUCCCGGUGACCUGCUCCAGAGCCCACGGUCCCCGCUGACCCGCCCCGGUGCCCGCGGUCCCUGCUGACCCACGAGUCCCAGUGACCCGCCCCAGCGCCCACAGUCCCCGCUGACCCAAGGUCCCCGCUGACCCGCCCCGGCGCCCACGGUCCCUGCCAACCCACUCCAGUGCCCACGGUCCCCGCUGACCCGCCCCCACGCCCACGGUCCCUGCUGACCCACGGUCCCCGCUGACCCACGAGUCCCAGUGACCUGCUCCAGCGCCCGCGGUCCCCACUGACCAGCCCCAGCACCCACCGGCCCUCCUCAUCUGCCCGUCCCCGAGUCUCGGGCCGAGGUCACCGGGCGGAGGGAGGGCUCAGACCCGCUGGGCACAGACUCAGCUCUGAGAUGGAUGGCCAGCGUCACCAGAGGGCACUGCAGGCCCAGGAACUCUGCAGGGUCUGGGUCCCACAGCCCCCCAGGGCGUGCAGAUGCAGGGAGCUUGCGGGGUGGGUGACGGCCGGGGCGCUCGCAGCUCAUCUGCUCAUCGCACAGGGCGCAGGGACCCCCCUCCCCGCAGCUGAUCCUGCUCGGGGCCAGGAUUGGCCCCCGCUCGGUGAGGGGCCGCCCCAGUGUGCCCGCAAGGCGGGUGGGGGCAGAGCAGGGGUCCCUGCCUCUGGGGAUCGUGUGGACACAGUCACUGCUCCCCUGCAGCCCUGUGGAUGAGGGUCCUGUCCAUAGCUGGGCCCUAAGGAUGGACUCCUGCGGGGGGCACCUCCUCCUGUGAGGAACUCCGGAUCUCACUGAGGCGCAUGGAGGCGGGUCAUCUGACACUCCCGUUCUGAGAGGGGCCGGGACGGGCAGGGCUGGGCGAUGCGUGAGGGUGGCUUGAGGAUUCAAGAGUGGCUCCAACGUCGUAUAGAAUGAGAGCCCGUUAAAUAGGGUGUGUGUGUGUGCACGUGUACACGCAUGUAC
ensembl:lncRNA